GGGAUAUAUAUAUGGGAAUAGCCACAUAGACUUUUAGUCCAUACCCAGAAGUCUGUAUAUAAGUCUGCUUUAUUAAUGUUGGGUAUCAUUAUAGUAUCUUGGAAACAUGAUCUUGUAAAGAUGAAAAUCAUCAUAAAUGAGAGCAAUAGAACAUUCAAAGAUUAUAGCAGAACAGUUUAUGGAGACACUGAACAGGUAAAGAUUUUAGAAUACUUGUACUGUUUUUUUUCAUCCUUGCCAUAGUGCAUCUGACCCAGGAUACUGUCUGUACAGUGGUGGACCUGGCAUGGGUAUUUGGGUAGUGGCAUCACUAUGAGAGGUGCUAUUUUCUAUUUUUGGUCAUUUUUAUAUUUCUAGAAUGUGUCACCCUUUGGUUAAAGUAAGCACAGAGGUGCAUGCAUGUGAGUGUAUCCAUUACCACAGCAGAGAGAAGCUCAUGUAUGUUUAUGUAUGCGUCACACUGACCUCUGUUCAGGACUCAUUAUCUAGAGGUUCAUCUUAGCUCAGUGACUUUAUUUUACUCUUUUAUUCUUAGUUAGACCCUGUUCCCUCAAUCUUUUCCAGUGGAUAUCCUCAGUUGGAUAACUGUAACCGUGGUUGCUAGUUAAUAAUUAGUCAUUUAGUGCUAGUCAACAUCUUGUCAGCAUCCUGUGGGUUACAGUAUAUUCUGUAACAGAACAUGGCAGUGAGAUUUGUGUUAAAAGUAAAGAAAACGACAACAUUCAUGAUUGGGAAUAAUCAUUAGAGACAAAACCAUGCUUUCUUCCACAAACCCCAGUUGUAUCUCCAGCAAGAAGAUGCCAUCUGUUUACAAAAUGACAGGAGGAAAUGUUAAUGACGUUGAGAAAAUAAGUGCUUGGUGCUUUUACAUAAUGUUAUGAAAGUUGCUGGUUAUGUGGUCAUGAUUUGUGAUUCCUCCCAUUCUUCCUUCAAGUGGCUGCUGAGGUUUAUGCCUGAAUCCUGACAAUGCUUCUUCCUUAGAUGCAGAAGGCAACUUAGGAGCAGAACCUGCACCUCUCUAGGAUUUUCUUUCCAUGACGAUGCCUGCUGCAGAUCAUUGCUUGAGUUAACCUGUACUUUCCUCCAUCACAGCUGGUGAAGGAAAAGCUCAUUGCUGUAGAUUUUCAUCUCUCACAGGCCAUAAACUCAGAUGAGCCAAAAUAUAGCUUUUUUUUCCCCUACUGAAUUUAAUUUCUCUCUUGAGUCCCUAUUUUCUCUGAUAAUGGAAAUUUGAAAUUAAUUCAAGGGUGAUUCCUUGUUUUCCUCCUGGGGAUACACAACUUCCCUCAGAGGCAAAGGGAUAAGGAGCAAGGACAAUGAUAUAGGUCAAUGACAUAAUGUCAUAGUUUGGGAGGAGUGAGCUGGGUCCUUGGUCUUCAUGUGCCUAGUCUGAGAUGUUGAUUGUUCUAUCUUUCUGGGUUACUGAUAUAUUUGCAUAUGGACCCCCUCUAUUUUUCUUUGUUUUAAAUAAAAGAAAUUAUAAGAUGUGUGAGUCAAUAUGGAAUGGAAAGAAAGAAAUACACAAGGUAUGGGGUAUGAUAAUCUCAAUAUAUUUUGCAAAUUUAUUACUGUAAUUUACAUUUCUGUAUAAUUUGAAGAAGCCUUUUAAAUUAUGAGAAUGGAAUAUUAGUGCUAUUUCCACAAGGAAAAUAGUAGGUUCUCUAUUUAAAUAAUUUGGAAUGGGAUUCAUCCAAAUAUUUUGCAUAAAGAAAAUAUUUUAAGGAAGAGCCAUUUAAUUCAUCUCCUGAUAUUAACUUAAUUGUUUCAGAAAUCUGAC
rnacentral:lncRNA from 1 species